GAUGCUUAGCUUUUUCGAGCGUUAGUGGCGAAAGGGUGAGUAACACGUGGGUUACCUGCCCUAGGGAUUGGGAUAACCUGUCGAAAGACGGGCUAAUACCGAAUACGAUUCCGUACAAAAAUUUGUGCGGGAUGAAAGAUGGGGAUCCGUAAGGACCUAUCACCCUUGGAUGGGCCCGCGGCCUAUCAGCUAGUUGGUGAGGUAACGGCUCACCAAGGCGAAGACGGGUAGCUGGUCUGAGAGGAUGGUCAGCCACACUGGGACUGAGACACUGCCCAGACUCCUACGGGAGGCUGCAGUCGAGAAUCUUUCGCAAUGGGGGAAACCCUGACGGAGCGACGCCGCGUGCAGGACGAAGGCCUUCGGGUUGUAAACUGCUGUCAGCUGGGAAGAAAAAGUCCACUACGAAUAAUGGCGGAUUCUGACGGUACCAGCAGAGGAAGCCACGGCUAACUCUGUGCCAGCAGCCGCGGUAAUACAGAGGUGGCAAGCGUUGUUCGGAUUUAUUGGGCGUAAAGGGUCUGUAGGCGGUCCGGAAAGUCGGAUGUGAAAUCCCACAGCUUAACUGUGGAACUGCAUUCGAAACUUCCGGACUUGAGUGUGAGAGGGGUAAAGGGAAUUCCCGGUGUAAGGGUGAAAUCUGCAGAGAUCGGGAGGAACACCAGUCGCGAAGGCGCUUUACUGGCUCACUACUGACGCUGAGGGACGAAAGCUAGGGGAGCAAACGGGAUUAGAUACCCCGGUAGUCCUAGCCGUAAACUAUGGUCACUAGGUGUUGGAGGGGUUAAACCCUUCGGUGCCGACGCUCACGCAUUAAGUGACCCGCCUGGGGAGUACGGUCGCAAGGCUGAAACUCAAAGGAAUUGACGGGGGCCCGCACAAGCGGUGGAGCAUGUGGUUCAAUUCGACGCAACGCGAAGAACCUUACCCAGGCUGGACAUGCUGGUAGU
rnacentral:rRNA from 1 species